GUCCACGCAGUAAACGAUGAAUACUAACUGUAUGCGAUAUACUGUAUGCGGUACAGCGAAAGCGUUAAGUAUUCCACCUGGGGAGUACGUUCGCAAGAAUGAAACUCAAAAGGAAUUGACGGGGGCCCGCACAAGCGGAGGAACAUGUGGUUUAAUUCGAUGAUACGCGAGGAACCUUACCCGGGCUUGAAAUGCAGACGACCGAAGUGGAAACACUUCUUCCAGCAAUGGCGUCUGUGUAGGUGCUGCAUGGUUGUCGU
rnacentral:rRNA from 1 species